ACCUGCUUUUCAUAGUAAUUAAUUCUCAUUGUCUACCUUCUCUGAAAGUUCCUGUGUAAGUACGCGCCAGAAACUUUUAUCUCUUCACCACGCUUGAUGAAAUGAGUUGGUCGUAAGAAAAAUUGCCGUAAAAAUUAUAGCGAUUACAGGAACUUGGAAAUGAGAUUCUUAGUACUUUACUUCUGUUUCCUUUCUCCCUUCAUUGUAUUUCAAUGCGCGGAUACAGUUGAUGAAAAUACAUGGGAGAUUGCUGAAAAUAUUCUUUUGACAGACAUAAGGUUGAUCGAGGAGCUUCAGGGUAAAUUGACGAUUUGAGCAUGUAUUCGAUGAAUUAGAAGGCAACGUAACCAAACUGAAAACAGGAGGAAGCCUCAGAAUUAAGAGAAAAUGUAGCAACUGUGAUAUACAAUCCUAUCCAACGUAUUGAAUUCAUGGAGAGAUUUGUUGAAGAGUGGUCUCAUGUUAGUGCCCUGUUGAACGAAACAUCCGAAUUACAAAAUUCGUUUAAGAAAACAGUGAAUGAUGUUGCAAAUAAAAUUACAAGGAAGAUAUCAAAGACCGACAUUUCGGAAAAUCCCCAAAAAAUCAUGGACAUUAUAUCUGACAAAACUUUUCCAAAAUUCUGCCCAAAUCGCCAACGCAAUAUUUUGGCUGCUGUCGCACCUUACAAGAGGGAGUGAAAUCACACUUACAGUGGGUGUAUGAUUAUAAUCACUUAUUUACGGAAGGUUGAAGGUCUAGGAGUUGAACUGUGUUUACCACCUUACCAAAAAUGUCUCAUUCCCAAAUGAUAAAAUAAUAUUUAGUCAAUGUAUGAAAAGUUCAAUUAAUUGCUUGCUAAGAGCUUUUAUUCAGUGCAAAUAUUGGAGAAUGUAGUUACUAAUGAUUUAAUAUUGCUGAAUUCAUUGUAACUUGUAUAUUUUCUGUUACAUACUGAUAGAUAUUAAGGUCUCAUAGCGUUCAUUGCUCAAAUUGUUUAGGCAUAAAAACAUUGGGAGUACAACUUCGCCAUUCACUGCCGUGUGCAUAAA